rnacentral:rRNA from 1 species
UACAGAGGUCUCAAGCGUUGUUCGGAUUCAUUGGGCGUAAAGGGUGCGUAGGUGGCGCCGUAAGUCAGGUGUGAAAUUUCGGAGCUUAACUUCGAAACUGCAUUUGAUACUGCGGUGCUUGAGGACUGGAGAGGGGACUGGAAUUUACGGUGUAGCAGUGAAAUGCGUAGAUAUCGUAAGGAAGACCAGUGGCGAAGGCGGGUCUCUGGACAGUUCCUGACGCUGAGGCACGAAGGCCAGGGGAGCAAACGGG